rnacentral:sRNA from 1 species
ACCUCCUCCUCCUCCUCCUCCUCCUCCUG